UUAAGCCAUGCAUGUGUAAGUACAAGCCGAGUUAAGGCGAAACCGCGAAUGGCUCAUUAAAUCAGCUAUGUUUCAUUGGAUCUGUAAACCCACUUACUUGGAUAACUGUGGUAAUUCUAGAGCUAAUACAUGCAUCACGUCUCUGACCGCAAGGGAAGAGCGCUUUUAUUAGUUCAAAACUGGUCGGGCCUCGGUCCGUUAACCCACCCGUGGUGAAUCUGAAUAACUUUUUGCUGAGCGCACGGUCUCCGCACCGGCGCCGCAUCCUUCAAGUGUCUGCCUUAUCAGCUUUCGAUUGUAGGUUAUGCGCCUACAAUGGCUAUAACGGGUAACGGGGAAUCAGGGUUCGAUUCCGGAGAGGGAGCCUGAGAAACGGCUACCACAUCUAAGGAAGGCAGCAGGCACGCAAAUUACCCACUCCCGGCACGGGGAGGUAGUGACGAAAAAUAACGAUGCGAGACUCAUCCGAGGCCUCGCAAUCGGAAUGAGUACACUUUAAAUCCUUUAACGAGGAUCUAUUGGAGGGCAAGUCUGGUGCCAGCAGCCGCGGUAAUUCCAGCUCCAAUAGCGUAUAUUAAAGUUGUUGCGGUUAAAAAGCUCGUAGUUGGAUCUCAGUUCCGGACUGACGGUACACCGCCUGGUGCUUACUGUCACGCUCCGAACAGCUAACUAGCCCCGCCGGCUCGCACGGGGUGCUCUUCAUCGAGUGUCCCGAGUGGCCGGCACGUUUACUUUGAAAAAAUUAGAGUGCUCAGAGCAGGCUACUUUAAUGGCCUGAAUGUCUAUGCAUGGAAUAAUGGAAUAGGACCUCGGUUCUAUUUUGUUGGUUUUCGGAACCUGAGGUAAUGACUAAUAGGAACAGGCGGGGGCAUUCGUACUGCGACGCUAGAGGUGAAAUUCUUGGACCGUCGCAAGACGAACUACUGCGAAAGCAUUUGCCAAGGAUGUUUUCAUUAAUCAAGAACGAAAGUUAGAGGUUCGAAGGCGAUCAGAUACCGCCCUAGUUCUAACCAUAAACGAUGCCAACUAGCGAUCCGC
rnacentral:rRNA from 1 species